rnacentral:rRNA from 1 species
UGGGGAAUUUUGGACAAUGGGCGAAAGCCUGAUCCAGCAAUGCCGCGUGUGUGAAGAAGGCCUUCGGGUUGUAAAGCACUUUUGUCCGGAAAGAAAUCCUUGGCUCUAAUACAGUCGGGGGAUGACGGUACCGGAAGAAUAAGCACCGGCUAACUACGUGCCAGCAGCCGCGGUAAUACGUAGGGUGCAAGCGUUAAUCGGAAUUACUGGGCGUAAAGCGUGCGCAGGCGGUUUGCUAAGACCGAUGUGAAAUCCCCGGGCUCAACCUGGGAACUGCAUUGGUGACUGGCAGGCUAGAGUAUGGCAGAGGGGGGUUAGAAUUCCACGUGUAGCAGUGAAAUGCGUAGAGAUGUGGAGGAAUACCGAUGGCGAAGGCAGCCCCCUGGGCCAAUACUGACGCUCAUGCACGAAAGCGUGGGGAGCAAAGCAGGAUUAGAUACCCUGGUAGUCCACGCCCUAAACGAUGUCAACUAGUUGUUGGGGAUUCAUUUCUUAGUAACGUAGCUAACGCGUGAAGUUGACCGCCUGGGGAGUACGGUCGCAAGAUUAAAACUUCAAAUGAAUUG